UGGGGAAUAUUGCACAAUGGGCGCAAGCCUGAUGCAGCCAUGCCGCGUGUGUGAAGAAGGCCUUCGGGUUGUAAAGUACUUUCAGUCGGGAGGAAGGUGGUAAGGUUAAUAACCUUAUCAAUUGACGUUACCGACAGAAGAAGCACCGGCUAACUCCGUACCAGCAGCCGCGGUAAUACGGAGGGUGCAAGCGUUAAUCGGAAUUACUGGGCGUAAAGCGCACGCAGGCGGUUGAUUGAGUCAGAUGUGAAAUCCCCGGGCUUAACCCGGGAAUUGCAUCUGAUACUGGUCAGCUAGAGUCUUGUAGAGGGGGGUAGAAUUCCAUGUGUAGCGGUGAAAUGCGUAGAGAUGUGGAGGAAUACCGGUGGCGAAGGCGGCCCCCUGGACAAAGACUGACGCUCAGGUGCGAAAGCGUGGGGAGCAAACAGG
rnacentral:rRNA from 1 species